CGGGAGGUGGAGCUUGCAGUGAGCUGAGAUCGCGCCACCGCACUCCAGCCUGGGUGAUGAGUGAGACUCUGUCUCAAAAAAAAAAAAAAAAAAAAAAAAAAAUUCAGUGGAGAAGGAUGGUAUUUUCAACAAAUGUGCUAGAUUGGCUGGAGCAAAAUCCAAGAGCAAAAAUGCAAGCCUCAACCUAAGUCUCACAUCUUAUAGAAAAAUUAACUCAAAAUGGAUCACAGGCUUAAAUGUAAAGUGUAAAAUAUAAAACUUGCAGAAAAUUGUUGGCAUCUAGGGCUAGGCAGAGUUUAUAGACUGGACAGCAGAAUCACAAUCCAUAACAGGAAAAAUGGACAAAUUGGGCUUCAUCAAAAUUAAAAACUUGUGGCUAGGCAUGGUGGCUCAUGCCUGUAAUCCCAGCACUUUGGGAGGCUGAGGUAGGAGGAUGGCUUGAGGCCAUGAGUUUGAGAUCAGCCCUGGCAACAUGGCAAGAUCCCAUCUCUACAAAAAAAUUUUUAAAAAUUAGCUGGACCAGGUGCGGUGGCUCACGCCUGUAAUCCCAGCACUUUGGGAGGCCAAGGUGGGCAGAUCACCUGAGGUUGGGAGUUUGAGACCAGUUUGACCAACAUGAAGAAACCCCGUCUCUACUGAAAAUACAAAAUUAGCUAGGCAUGGUGGCGCAUGCUUGUAAUCCCAGCUACUGGGAAGGCUGAGGCAGGAGAAUUGCUUGAACCCGGGAGUUGGAGGUUGCAGUGAGCCAAGAUCGUGCCAUUGCACUCCAGCCGGGACAAGAAGACCGAAACUCCGUCUAAAAAAAUAAAAAUAAAAUUAGCCUGGUUGGGCACAGUGGCUCAUGCCUGUAAUCCUAGGACUUUGGGAGGCUGAGGCGGGCGGAUCACCUGAGGUCAGGAGUUUGAGACCAGCCUGACCAACAUGGAGAAACCCCGUCUGUAUGCAAAAUUAGCCGGGUGUGGUGGUGCAUGCCUGUAAUCCUAGCUACUCAAGAGGAUGAGGCAGGAGAAUCGCUUGAACCUGGGAGGUGGAGGUUGUGGUGAGCCGAGAUCGCGCCAUUCUACUCCAGCCUGGGCAACAAGAGUGAAAGUCCGUCUCAAAAAUAAAUAAAUAAAUAAAUAAAAAUUAGCUGGGCAUGGUGGCACAGACCUGUAGUCCCAGCUACUCCGGAGGCUGAGGUGGGAGGAUCCCUUAAGCUCAGGAGUUUGAGGCUGCAGUGAACUACGAUCACACCAGUGCAUCCCAUCCUGGGUGACAGAGUGAGACCCUGUCUCAAAAAAUAAAUAAAUAAAAACUUUGGUUCUGCCAAAUACCGUUAAAAGAAUGAAAAGGUCCGGACGCGGUGAAAUUAAUAUACAAUAAACCACUUAAAGCAUACAACGUAGUGGCAUUGAUACAUUCAUAAUGUUGUGUGGCCACUCCCUCUAUCUAGUUUCAAAACAUUUUCAUCACCUCAAAAGGAGACCCUGUACCCAGUAGGCAGUUGCUCCCCAUUCCCCCCAGACUCGCGCAUCCACUUGUUAUUUGCCUAUUCCGGACAUUGCAUGUAAACGGAAUCAUCCAGCAUGUGACCUUUUGUGAUAGUGUUUCUUCAGUCCCAGAGUCAGGCAAGGGAGACUUGGUCAGCCCUAUCCUAGGGUCCCUGCUACCCAAGCCAGCCCCAUCCCAGUGGCUUUGGGGAACCUGCCCAGAACAGCCCUGCAGCACCAGAAAGGCAUGGGCACCAGGCCAGCCCCGCCCUUCCCUUCAGGGCUUCAUCAACGCCAGACCACCAUGGACCUGACACAAGGCGGCUUCUCCUGUAUGGGAGCAGGUAGCAUUCUCAGAGGGCCAUCAGGAGAGCAGGUGGUGGCAAAGCCACAGACUGUCACUAUGGUGGGACAAACCCCUUUGCUCUGAGGCUCAGCUUCCUUAUCUGUAAAAUGGGGAGGAUUCCAACACCUUCCCGUGGGCUAGUCCACAGCAAGGGCUAGCUACACAGCACUGUGAUGACUGACCCUCAGCCACGGCAGGCCAACUGCCCCACAGCAGCCUGAAACACGGCCCUGAUCUGACUCCUCUCACAUAAGGGAGAGGUCUAAGCCCUGAGACCCAGCAACCAUCUCUGGCCAGCAAGUGUGUCCCUGUAAUCUGCCCUGUAGGAGGGCUUUGAAAUGCUUUUCGGUUUUAUGGAGAUCAUCAAGGCAAAUGGGACAUUACUUUAAAGGGGCACAGACUCGUAUUUCUGUCUUUUUUUUUUUUUUUUUUUUUUUUUGAGACGGAGUUUCGCUCUUUCCCCCAGGCUGGAGUGAUGUGAUUUCGGCUCACUGCAACCUCCGCGCUCCCCAGGUUCAAGCGAUU
rnacentral:lncRNA from 10 species